GAUGAACGCUGGCGGCGUGCUUAACACAUGCAAGUCGAACGGAAAGGCCCAAGCUUUCUUGGGUACUCGAGUGGCGAACGGGUGAGUAACACGUGGGUGAUCUGCCCUGCACUUCGGGAUAAGCCUGGGAAACUGGGUCUAAUACCGGAUAGGACCACCUCAUGGAUGUUGUGGUGGAAAGUUUUUUCGGUGUGGGAUGAGUUCGCGGCCUAUCAGCUUGUUGGUGGGGGAAUGGCCUACCAAGGCGUCGGCGGGUAGCCGGCCUGGGGGGGUGUACGGCCGCCCUGGGUCUGAGGUAUGGCCCCAGCGCCUACGGGAGGCAGCAGUGGGGAAUAUUGCACAAUGGGCGCCAGGCGGAUGCAGCGACGCCGCGUGUGGGAUGACGGGCUUCGGGUUGUAAACUCCUUUCGCUAGGGACGAAGCGUUUUGUGACGGUACCUGGAGAAGAAGCACCGGCUAACUACGUG
rnacentral:rRNA from 1 species